AGCAGCCGCGGUAAUUCCAGCUCCAAUAGCGUAUAUUAAAGUUGUUGCAGUUAAAAAGCUCGUAGUUGAAUUUCGGGAUCAAUAUGCUGGUCGUGCCAUUGGUACGUACUAGUAUUAUUGGUUUCUUCCUUCUGAUGAAUCAUGAUGUCAUUAAGUUGAUGUCAUGGGGAAUCAGGACUGUUACUUUGAAAAAUUAGAGUGUUUAAAGCAGGCUCGCGCUUGAAUACAUUAGCAUGGAAUAAUGAAAUAGGACGUUUGAUUCUAUUUUGUUGGUUUCUAGAAUUGACGUAAUGAUUAAUAGGGAUAGUUGGGGGCAUUAGUAUUCAAUUAUCAGAGGUGAAAUUCUUGGAUUUAUUGAAGACUAACUACUGCGAAAGCAUUUGCCAAGGAUGUCUUCAUUAAUCAAGAACGAAAGUUAGGGGAUCGAAGACGAUCAGAUACCGUCGUAGUCUUAACCAUAAACUAUGCCGACUAGGGAUCGGAUGAUGUUAAUUUUUAA
rnacentral:rRNA from 1 species